UACGAAGGGGGCUAGCGUUGCUCGGAAUUACUGGGCGUAAAGGGCGCGUAGGCGGAUGUUUAAGUCGGGGGUGAAAGCCCGGGGCUCAACCUCGGAAUUGCCUUCGAUACUGGACAUCUUGAGUACGGGAGAGGUGAGUGGAACUCCGAGUGUAGAGGUGAAAUUCGUAGAUAUUCGGAAGAACACCGGUGGCGAAGGCGGCUCACUGGCUCAUUUCUGACGCUCAGGCGCGACAGCGUGGGGAUCAAACAGG
rnacentral:rRNA from 1 species